rnacentral:tRNA from 1 species
CGGGGCGUAGCGCAGCUGGCUAGCGCGUCUGCUUUGGGAGCAGAAGGUCCUCGGUUCAAAUCCGAGCGCCCCGACCA